CCCUGCAUGAAGUCGGAAUUGCUAGUAAUCGCGGAUCAGCAUGCCGCGGUGAAUACGUUCCCGGGCCUUGUACACACCGCCCGUCACACCAUGGGAGCCGGUAAUACCCGAAGUCAGUAGUCCAACCUCGUGAGGACGCUGCCGAAGGUAGGAUUGGCGACUGGGGUGAAGUCGUAACAAGGUAAC
rnacentral:rRNA from 1 species